CAGCUCAGCACUUUCAGGAACCUUAACUUGGUCACCAAUGAGGAAGUUGAAUGCAACCAGGAGAAGCACAGGCACUGGGCGGAGCUCCUCCUGAAGUCCUGGGCUGAGAUUACUUAUGGGCCAACGACAAAGAGCCUUUUGUCCAGGGAAAUAAAUACGGAAGUCCCAGAAGAGCAGCGUCCCUGUCUGUGUGUAGUAAGGUGCACAGCCUCUGCUGCUUCUGGGCAGAGAGCUUCACAGGCGUUUUUACAGUUGCCCUGGACACCCUGUCAUCGGGCAAACUGGAAGGGAAGGCACAGUGACCUGAAAGAAACCAAGUGUGUUCUCUGAGCCAGCUGAGAGACUGGCUCCCUCCUGCCUCCUGUUGUUCCGUGUCCUGUAAGUUAAGAGCGGAUGGAGUGGAUAAACUGAAAGCACAGGGGGAAAGUAACUCAAGUCAGAACCUUCACCAAGGGCACUGCAGAGACAUGGAGGAGGUUGGUAAGUCUCUAAAUGGCAGUGAUGUGCUGGAGCCAGAAAAGCCAGAAGCUGGACUCGAAAUGGCUCAGUCGAUCCUAAGUAAGUUCUCUAUGAAAUCCCUGUUUGGAUUUACAAGUAAAUUGGAUUCUGUGAAGCCUGAAGAGGAAGAUGCUGUGCUGAAAGCAUUCCACAGUUUAGAGGUGGAUCCCAGGCCACUGCAAGAUGAUCCCAGCAAUGGUUUGGAUCUUCAGGAGGAAGAGACUCCAGUUCCACCUGGCUUUAGAAUUAAUGGGGAGACUGCAAGGGUAGAGAUAGAAUCAGAGGGAAGUCCUGGGAAAGCAGAACCAGGAACUUCCCUCCCUGGUGAAGAGCUUCUUCCACUUGCCACUCUGAGUGUGGGCAGAGAUGAUGUCAUGUGGGUCCGUGGGACCCUGGUGCACACUACCAGUGAUUCUGACUCUGAUGAUGGCGGCCAAGAGCUGGAAGAGGGAGGCAGCACGAAGGUCCCAAAGUCGCCCAUUAUCAUUUUAUCUGAGCCAUCUCAAGAGCCCAAAGAAAAAUUAGGAGAUUCUAAGGAAAUCAUUGCUACCGGGGAAGUGGAUGAUGCAGAGCUAUGUGCAGAAGAUCCUCAAAGGACUCCAACUGGGAGUAGUGCCCUGGAACCUGGAAAUGGUAGCCUUCAGACAGAGCACAGCCCCAGCCAAAGCCAUGCAGGAGAAGAAGGAUCCCAAUACCCGCCUGUAGCAACACACCAGAAUUUGAAUACUGGUGUCACCGAGAGCAUGUCUUCUAAAAGAGAAGUCCUUGGAGAGAAGUCAUUCCAGCUUCCAGCUUUUUUCAGUGGGCUUCGUGUGCUGAAGAAGGGGGCUCCAGCAGAGGGAGGGGAAACCAUCAACGAAAUUAAACCAAAGAAUGGAGACCUGGCAUUGCUUAAAUUAACUCAGCCUGUUCAGAAGUCUCUGGUGCAGACCGGGUCACAGGCAGUGAAAAGCGGUGAGAGAACAACUGAUCCGAAGGCCACUCCCACUCUUCUGGAGCAGCUCUCUCAGCUGCUUAACAUUGACGUGCCCAAAACUGAACCGCAGGCUGCGGACCCUGAGUCGCCCAGGGAAGGAGAGAUGGGCUGCAGUGCUGACCAGGAGGGCCAGGGCAGCUCUGGAGAUGUCCAGACCCAGAGUGGCGAGGUCAAGCCAAAACCUCCAGAAACUGCCCUGGAGGCCUUUAAAGCCUUAUUCAUCCGGCCCCCCAAAAAGGGGACCACAGCUGACACUUCUGAGCUGGAAGCUCUCAAGCGAAAGAUGAGACAUGAGAAGGAAUCACUAAGAGCUGUGUUUGAGCGGUCCAAGUCAAGGCCAGCGGAUGGUCCCUCUGAUUCUAAAAGUCCUGACCAGAGCCCCACAGAGCAGGACGACAGGACUCCUGGCCGACUCCAAGCUGUCUGGCCACCCCCAAAGACAAAAGACACAGAAGAGAAAGUGGGAUUGAAGUACACGGAAGCAGAAUACCAAGCUGCUAUUUUACACUUGAAGAGGGAGCACAAAGAAGAAAUUGAAAACCUGCAGGCCCAGUUUGAACUUCGGGCAUUUCAUAUUCGGGGGGAGCAUGCAGCGAUUACAGCGCGGCUGGAAGAAACCAUUGACAAUCUCAGACUCGAGUUAGAACACCGGCGGCCAGGAGGGUGCGUGGAGCUGAGAGACGCCUGCGUGUCCACCGACGACUGCCCUCCAAAGGCCUACAGAAACGUGUGCGUCCAGACCGACAGGGAGACCUUCCUCAAACCCUGCGAGGGUGACAGCAAGACAACCAGAAGUAACCCCAUAGUGCCCAAGAAGCUGAACAUCUCCUCCUUAAGCCAGCUGUCUCCCUCAAGUGACAACAAAGACGCCCCCACACCACUUCGGAAUGGGGAAGGCACAUCCCCAAGUCGCCCAAAGACGGCUCCCCCACCGCCCCCGCCCCCGCCCCUUCCCAUCCCACCCCCUCCACCCCUCCCACCUGGACC
rnacentral:lncRNA from 1 species